GCGGCAGGCCUAACACAUGCAAGUCGAGCGGUAGCACAGAGAGCUUGCUCUCGGGUGACGAGCGGCGGACGGGUGAGUAAUGUCUGGGAAACUGCCUGAUGGAGGGGGAUAACUACUGGAAACGGUAGCUAAUACCGCAUAACGUCGCAAGACCAAAGUGGGGGACCUUCGGGCCUCAUGCCAUCAGAUGUGCCCAGAUGGGAUUAGCUAGUAGGUGGGGUAACGGCUCACCUAGGCGACGAUCCCUAGCUGGUCUGAGAGGAUGACCAGCCACACUGGAACUGAGACACGGUCCAGACUCCUACGGGAGGCAGCAGUGGGGAAUAUUGCACAAUGGGCGCAAGCCUGAUGCAGCCAUGCCGCGUGUGUGAAGAAGGCCUUCGGGUUGUAAAGCACUUUCAGCGGGGAGGAAGGCGUUAAGGUUAAUAACCUUGGCGAUUGACGUUACCCGCAGAAGAAGCACCGGCUAACUCCGUGCCAGCAGCCGCGGUAAUACGGAGGGUGCAAGCGUUAAUCGGAAUUACUGGGCGUAAAGCGCACGCAGGCGGUCUGUCAAGUCGGAUGUGAAAUCCCCGGGCUCAACCUGGGAACUGCAUUCGAAACUGGCAGGCUAGAGUCUUGUAGAGGGGGGUAGAAUUCCAGGUGUAGCGGUGAAAUGCGUAGAGAUCUGGAGGAAUACCGGUGGCGAAGGCGGCCCCCUGGACAAAGACUGACGCUCAGGUGCGAAAGCGUGGGGAGCAAACAGGAUUAGAUACCCUGGUAGUCCACGCCGUAAACGAUGUCGAUUUGGAGGUUGUGCCCUUGAGGCGUGGCUUCCGGAGCUAACGCGUUAAAUCGACCGCCUGGGGAGUACGGCCGCAAGGUUAAAACUCAAAUGAAUUGACGGGGGCCCGCACAAGCGGUGGAGCAUGUGGUUUAAUUCGAUGCAACGCGAAGAACCUUACCUGGUCUUGACAUCCACAGAACUUUCCAGAGAUGGAUUGGUGCCUUCGGGAACUGUGAGACAGGUGCUGCAUGGCUGUCGUCAGCUCGUGUUGUGAAAUGUUGGGUUAAGUCCCGCAACGAGCGCAACCCUUAUCCUUUGUUGCCAGCGGUUAGGCCGGGAACUCAAAGGAGACUGCCAGUGAUAAACUGGAGGAAGGUGGGGAUGACGUCAAGUCAUCAUGGCCCUUACGACCAGGGCUACACACGUGCUACAAUGGCAUAUACAAAGAGAAGCGACCUCGCGAGAGCAAGCGGACCUCAUAAAGUAUGUCGUAGUCCGGAUUGGAGUCUGCAACUCGACUCCAUGAAGUCGGAAUCGCUAGUAAUCGUAGAUCAGAAUGCUACGGUGAAUACGUUCCCGGGCCUUGUACACACCGCCCGUCACACCAUGGGAGUGGGUUGCAAAAGAAGUAGGUAGCUUAACCUUCGGGAGGGCGCUUACCACUUUGUGAUUCAUGACUGGGGUG
rnacentral:rRNA from 1 species